CGUACCUUUUGUAUAAUGGGUCAGCGACUUAUAUUCUGUAGCAAGGUUAACCGAAUAGGGGAGCCGAAGGGAAACCGAGUCUUAACUGGGCGUUAAGUUGCAGGGUAUAGACCCGAAACCCGGUGAUCUAGCCAUGGGCAGGUUGAAGGUUGGGUAACACUAACUGGAGGACCGAACCGACUAAUGUUGAAAAAUUAGCGGAUGACUUGUGGCUGGGGGUGAAAGGCCAAUCAAACCGGGAGAUAGCUGGUUCUCCCCGAAAGCUAUUUAGGUAGCGCCUCGUGAAUUCAUCUCCGGGGGUAGAGCACUGUUUCGGCAAGGGGGUCAUCCCGACUUACCAACCCGAUGCAAACUGCGAAUACCGGAGAAUGUUAUCACGGGAGACACACGGCGGGUGCUAACGUCCGUCGUGAAGAGGGAAACAACCCAGACCGCCAGCUAAGGUCCCAAAGUCAUGGUUAAGUGGGAAACGAUGUGGGAAGGCCCAGACAGCCAGGAUGUUGGCUUAGAAGCAGCCAUCAUUUAAAGAAAGCGUAAUAGCUCACUGGUCGAGUCGGCCUGCGCGGAAGAUGUAACGGGGCUAAACCAUGCACCGAAGCUGCGGCAGCGACACUAUGUGUUGUUGGGUAGGGGAGCG
rnacentral:rRNA from 1 species